GCUGAGGUAGUGAAGCGGUCAAACACAGCAGACUGUAAAUCUGCCGGCAUUCGCCUUCGAAGGUUCGAAUCCUUCCCUCAGCACCA
rnacentral:tRNA from 1 species